UAUAAAAGAUUCCGAACCAUUUGAUACACAGAGAGCCACGAUUGGUUGCUAAGCGAGGACGUUGAUCUUCUUCCUCACUUGCUCCUCCCACUAGCAGGCGCUGAGGAGUUCGACGACGAAGACAACGAUCGCCUUCCACUUGACCUUCAAUAUUUGCCAUCGGAUAAACAAAGGGAGGAUGAUCCAGAUGUGAGGGUUAUACUGGUGGAGGCGUUGACAUUGUUAUGCGCCACUCAAUCUGGUAGAGCUUAUGUCAAAGCCAAGAACACAUACGUGAUAAUGCGUGAGUUGUACAGAUGGGAGACGGAGAAUGACAACACUGAUGUGGCCGAGACAUGUGAAAAACUUGUGCAGAUUUUAAUUUCUGAUGAGCCAGAAGACGGGAGAGAGAAUUUAUUAACUUGCGAUAUUCCAGAAGAACAUUUGAAAAAAUUGCAGAGUUGCGGUUAAAUAUAGAAACUAUCAUUUUAUCUUUUAUUGAAUAUUGUGUCAAAUUUGCAAUCAUGUUGUUUACGUUCCAUUUCAUGUAAAUAUAGUUCCUGGGCUGAAAUAACG